AGAAAGAUUAAAGCUCUCCCUGCUGAAAUCUCCUUUCCCUCCAGCAGGAAACCAGUGUAGUUAUGUUGUUUGUACUUGCCAGGAUACACUUCCAUUUCAUAUUUGCAAGUACACAUAAAGGUAUCCUUCAUCAGCAGCACAGUGCUUCCUUUCCUCUGAAUCUGCCAUCAGCUCAGGCAGAUUUCUAAGCAGCAAAUCAGCCUUUGCCAGAACACUGCAGGACACCAGUGCAGCGCCCAGCCUGCGACCAUGAGGCAUUUUAAAAUCUGUGGCGCUUCCAGACUCAUAUCAACAUUCCCUGAUGGAAGCCUUUAGCAAUCCUAACCAGGAAGUGGCCAGAGCCUGGAGCCAGAGACGAACGUCCCUCAUAGGAGGGGUUGCUGGAGGAGGAGGGGCAAAUCUAUUUCAUUCUGUCCUUGCAGGCACAUUUUCAUCAGUUAAUGAUGCAAACCAGGCUGAAACGUUCUUAACAAGCAUGUGUGUUUCUGUUUUUCAUUUGAAAGUCAGGAGCAUGAGGCUAUAUUCAUCAUAGAGGCAGGGUUUCUCUGUGUCAGAGCUCAGCAUUGGCAGCUCUAGCAAAGGACAGGCUGCAUUUAGCUGGUUCUUUUCUAAGGAGCCACAGUCAGGCACUAAACCAGCAUCUACACCUCUGAGGCCCCUAAAAGCCUCCAGUGAAGCUGGGCUUGAUCAGACCUCAAAAAGAUCUCCCUUUGCAUUUUGCUCUUAGUUCUCAGUGAUCUUUAAAAAAUAAUAAUAAUAAAAAGAUUAGAAUUCGCCUGCACCCAGGUGAUUAAAAAGCUUUAUUGCUCACACAAAGCCUGUUUGGUGGUCUCUUCACAUGGACGCGAGUGACAUUUGGUGCCGUGACUCGGAUCGGGGAACCUCCCUUGGGAGAUCAAUCCCCUGUCCUCCUGCUCUUUGUUCCAAGAGAAAGAUCCACCUACGACCUCUGCUCCUCAGACCAACCAGCCCAAGGAACAUCUCACCAAUUUUAAAUCGGGGAAACCCCAGCCACAUCUCCAGCACACAAGAACUUCAAAAUGCCUAAGCCGCAGCAGUCAAGCAUUCCUAGAGGACCUUCCUCUAGGGGAUGGUAGAGUCACAGGAUGGAAGAACUCUGUGUCCUUGAAUCAUUGCAUGGAAGAGAACUGGAAGUUGCCCAGGAACACCAGCCUUGGACAGUUAUGUGAACAAGAAAUAAACUUCUUUUACAGUGUCAU
rnacentral:lncRNA from 10 species